rnacentral:rRNA from 1 species
GAUGAACGCUCGCUAUAGGCUUAACACAUGCAAGUCGAGGGGAAACGGCAUUAUGUGCUUGCACAUUUUGGACGUCGACCGGCGCACGGGUGAGUAUCGCGUAUCCAACCUGCCCUUUACUUGGGGAUACCCCGUUGAAAGACGGCCUAAUACCCGAUGUAAUUCAUUGAUGGCAUCAGAUAUGAAUAAAAGAUUUAUCGGUAAAGGAUGGGGAUGCGUCUGAUUAGCUUGUUGGUGAGGUAACGGCUCACCAAGGCGACGAUCAGUAGGGGUUCUGAGAGGAAGGUCCCCCACAUUGGAACUGAGACACGGUCCAAACUCCUACGGGAGGCAGCAGUGAGGAAUAUUGGUCAAUGGGCGCAAGCCUGAACCAGCCAAGUAGCGUGCAGGAAGACGGCCCUAUGGGUUGUAAACUGCUUUUAUACGAGAAUAAUUUGAUGCACGUGUGCGUUAUUGCAUGUAUCGUAUGAAUAAGGACCGGCUAAUUCCGU